UGACAUGGUCGCAGCUGAUGCAGCCUGCCGCGUGAGUGAUGACGGCCUUCGGGUUGUAAAGCUCUUUCAUCGGGGACGAUAAUGACGGUACCCGGAGAAUAAGCCCCGGCUAACUUCGUGCCAGCACCCCCGGUAAUAAUAAUAUACC
rnacentral:rRNA from 1 species